rnacentral:rRNA from 1 species
UAGGGAAUUUUGGGCAAUGGGCGAAAGCCUGACCCAGCAACGCCGCGUGUGGGAUGAAGGCCCUCGGGUCGUAAACCACUGUCAGGAGGAAAGAAAAGUCGGCCGGAUAAUACUCGGUCGACCUGACGGUACCUCCAAAGGAAGCACCGGCUAACUCCGUGCCAGCAGCCGCGGUAAUACGGAGGGUGCAAGCGUUGUUCGGAAUUACUGGGCGUAAAGCGCGUGUAGGUGGUCGAGUAAGUCGAAUGUGAAAGCCCCGGGCUCAACCCGGGAAGUGCAUCCGAAACUGCUCGACUAGAGUCCCGGAGAGGAAGGCAGAAUUCCCAAUGUAGGGGUGAAAUCCGUAGAUAUUGGGAGGAAUACCGGUGGCGAAGGCGGCCUUCUGGACGGUGACUGACACUCAGACGCGAAAGCGUGGGGAGCAAACAGGAUUAGAUACCCUUGUAGUCCCUGAGCGGGCUGGCAAGGCGCAU